GACGAACGCUGGCGGCGUGCUUAACACAUGCAAGUCGAACGCUGAAGCUUGGUGCUUGCACUGGGUGGAUGAGUGGCGAACGGGUGAGUAAUACGUGAGUAACCUGCCCUUGACUCUGGGAUAAGCCUGGGAAACUGGGUCCAAUACUGGAUACGACAUGUCACCGCAUGGUGGUGUGUGGAAAGGGUUUUGCUGGUUUUGGAUGGGCUCACGGCCUAUCAGCUUGUUGGUGGGGUAAUGGCUCACCAAGGCGACGACGGGUAGCCGGCCUGAGAGGGUGACCGGCCACACUGGGACUGAGACACGGCCCAGACUCCUACGGGAGGCAGCAGUGGGGAAUAUUGCACAAUGGGCGGAAGCCUGAUGCAGCGACGCCGCGUGAGGGAUGACGGCCUUCGGGUUGUAAACCUCUUUCAGCACGGAAGAAGCGAAAGUGACGGUACGUGCAGAAGAAGCGCCGGCUAACUACGUG
rnacentral:rRNA from 1 species